rnacentral:rRNA from 1 species
AAUCCUUUAACGAGGAUCUAUUGGAGGGCAAGUCUGGUGCCAGCAGCCGCGGUAAUUCCAGCUCCAAUAGCGUAUAUUAAAGUUGUUGUGGUUAAAAAGCUCGUAGUUGGAUCUCAGUUCGAGUCAGGCGGUCCACUUGCCAGUGGCUACUGCCUGACUGAACACUUUACCGAGUUGUCCUAUGGUGUUCUUCACCGAGCGCCAUAGGCGAUCGGUACGUUUACUUUGAAAAAAAUUAGAGUGCUCAAAGCAGGCGUAACGCCCGAAUAAUGUUGCAUGGAAUAAUGGAAUAGGACCUCGGUUCUAUUUUGUUGGUCUUCGGAAUCAGAGGUAAUGAUCAAUAGGGACAGACGGGGACAUUCGUAUUGCGGCGCUAGAGGUGAAAUUCUUGGACCGUCGCAAGACGAACUAAAGCGAAAGCAUUUGUCAAGAAUGUUUUCAUUAAUCAAGAACGAAAGUUAGAGGUUCGAAGGCGAUCAGAUACCGCCCUAGUCCUAACCAUAAACGAUGCCAACCAGUAAUUCGUCUGAGUUCCUUAAAUGACUCGACGAGGGACUUCCGGGAAACCAAAGUCUUUCGGUUCCAGGGGAAGUAUGGUUGCAAAGCUGAAACUUAAAGAAAUUGACGGGAGGGCACCACCAGGAGUGGAGCCUGCGGCUUAAUUUGACCCAACACGGGAAAACUCACCCGGCCCGGACACUGGAAGGAUUGACAGAUUGAGAGCUCUUUCUUGAUUCAGUGGGUGGUGGUGCAUGGCCGUUCUUAGUUGGUGGAGUGAUUUGUCUGGUUAAUUCCGAUAACGAACGAGACUCUAGCCUACUAAAUAGAUCGUCGGCUUACAAACGCCGGCGAGACUUCUUAGAGGGACAGGCGGUGAUUCAACCGCACGAAACAGAGCAAUAACAGGUCUGUGAUGCCCUUAGAUGUCCGGGGCCGCACGCGCGCUACACUGAAGUGAUCAGCGUGCUUUUUCAACCUACUCUGUCAAGAGUGGGGAACCCAAUGAACCUUCUUCGUGAUUGGGAUAGGGGAUUGUAAUUAUUCCCCUUGAACGAGGAAUUCCCAGUAAGCGCGAGUCAUAAGCUCGCGUUGAUUACGUCCCUGCCCUUUGUACACACCGCCCGUCGCUACUACCGAUUGAAUGUUUUAGUGAGGUCUUCGGACUGGCCGGCGCAGCACUCUCGUAGUGCAGCGCUGUGUUUGGAAAGAUGCCCAAACUUGAACAUUUAGAGGAAGUAAAAGUCGUAACAAGGUUUCCGUAGGUGAACCUGCGGAAG